rnacentral:snRNA from 1 species
AGACACAUAAAGGUGAUCUGGUUGCAACACUUGUCACCCACUGGUCAUCAGGGUAGAUUUGGAGGAUCUGUCUGGCUAGGCAGGUGUUCCCUUCCUCCUUCAGUUUCCAUGUGCAACCCUCCCCAGAAACUGUGCACAGGAGGGCAUUUUAUCAGUCAAGGGUAGACAAGUAACUGCACCUCCCUGCUAGAACUUCCACAUAAGCUCUCAAGUAAGAGACUAUCAUCUUACCAUAUGGUUUAAAUUUUUCUCCAGUGAACUUCACUAAAACAUUGAACACAAUGAAUUU